AUGGUUAAGGAGAAGACGGCGGCGCUGGAGCGCGCGAAGAAGGCGUCGGCGACGGAGAAGGCGAAGGGGAGAUCCACCAGCCGCGGUGGGUCUUCGUCCAGAUCCCGCCCGCCGAAAGGCUGGGUCCAGGGAGAUUGGAUCCAGUCGACCAUCACGGAGAAGGACCUCCUCGACAUGGCCAACGAGGGCUUGAUCCCCCAUGGAGCUGCGAGGCUUUCGGGGAAAGAAUGGCAGCCCCAGCCGGAAGAGGGUGAGUGCGUGCUUCUGGCUACCCAUGUCGACCGCGGAUUCUCUUUGCCGCCGAGCGUUUUCUUCCGUGGUUUCUUGAACUUUUUUGGAGCGCAACUCCACCACUUCACCCCGAAUUCUAUCGCCUAUCUUGCCGCGUUUGUGUCCAUGUGCGAGAGUAUUCUGGGCUGUCGACCGCACUGGGGCUUGUUCAAGCACAUAUUCACAUGUCGCUCUCAAACUGUGAAGAAGGCGAGUCCAGGCGACGAAAGAACCCGAGUGGUCCAAAUGUGUGGAGGUCUGGGGAUCCAGGUGAGAAACAAGAGCACCUUCCCAGCUAUGACAUUUCCCGAGUCAGUCAGAGGCUGGCAGUCGACCUGGUUGUACUGCCACGACGAGUCGACACCGGGGCAGUCGAGUGGGCUCCCUCCAUUUACCAUGGACCGAGUGAACAAGCCCUCCUCCCUGAAGCUGAUUCCGGAGGAGAAAGCUGACGUGAAGAUGUUGAUGGAGCGCGUAGUUCAGUUGGUUCGAUAG
rnacentral:rRNA from 1 species